rnacentral:rRNA from 1 species
AUGAACGCUGGCGGCGUGCCUAAUACAUGCAAGUCGAGCGAACGGACGAGAAGCUUGCUUCUCUGAUGUUAGCGGCGGACGGGUGAGUAACACGUGGAUAACCUACCUAUAAGACUGGGAUAACUUCGGGAAACCGGAGCUAAUACCGGAUGAUAUUUUGAACCGCAUGGUUCAAAAGUGAAAGACGGUCUUGCUGUCACUUAUAGAUGGAUCCGCGCUGCAUUAGCUAGUUGGUAAGGUAACGGCUUACCAAGGCAACGAUGCAUAGCCGACCUGAGAGGGUGAUCGGCCACACUGGAACUGAGGCACGGUCCAGACUCCUACGGGAGGCAGCAGUAGGGAAUCUUCCGCAAUGGGCGAAAGCCUGACGGAGCAACGCCGCGUGAGUGAUGAAGGUCUUCGGAUCGUAAAACUCUGUUAUUAGGGAAGAACAUAUGUGUAAGUAACUGUGCACAUCUUGACGGUACCUAAUCAGAAAGCCACGGCUAACUACGUG